CAGUCGCCGCGGGAAUACGUAGGUGGCAAGCGUUGUCCGGAAUUAUUGGGCGUAAAGGGCUCGCAGGCGGUUUCUUAAGUCUGAUGUGAAAGCCCCCGGCUCAACCGGGGAGGGUCAUUGGAAACUGGGAAACUUGAGUGCAGAAGAGGAGAGUGGAAUUCUACGUGUAGCGGUGAAAUGCGUAGAGAUGUGGAGGAACACCAGUGGCGAAGGCGACUCUCUGGUCUGUAGCUGACGCUGAGGAGCGAAAGCGUGGGGAGCGAACAGGAUUAGAGACCCCAGUAGUCCCUGUCUCUUAUAC
rnacentral:rRNA from 1 species